rnacentral:rRNA from 1 species
GACGAACGCUGGCGGCGUGCUUAACACAUGCAAGUCGAGCGGUAAGGCCCUUUCGGGGGUACACGAGCGGCGAACGGGUGAGUAACACGUGGGUGACCUGCCCUCAGCUCUGGGAUAAGCCUGGGAAACUGGGUCUAAUACUGGAUAUGACUCCACGGUGCAUGUCGUGGGGUGGAAAGCCUUGUGCGGCUGAGGAUGGGCCCGCGGCCUAUCAGCUUGUUGGUGGGGUGANGGCCUACCAAGGCGACGACGGGUAGCCGGCCUGAGAGGGCGAUCGGCCACACUGGGACUGAGACACGGCCCAGACUCCUACGGGAGGCAGCAGUGGGGAAUCUUGCGCAAUGGGCGAAAGCCUGACGCAGCGACGCCGCGUGAGGGAUGACGGCCU